rnacentral:rRNA from 1 species
GUAUAGGGGGUGAAUUCUGCCCAAUGGUUGUACAGUGAAACUAAGUACUAACGUAUAAAGCGAAACCCAACUGAAUGGCCGCGGUAACUCUGACCGUGAUAAUGUAGCACAAUAAAUAGCCAAUUAAUUGUUGGCGGGUAUGAAUGGAACCACGAGGGUUUUACUGUCUCAAGAGGAAAGCCGAUGAAAUUAUAGUUGUAGUGAAGAUACUACAUAGACAUUGUAAGACGAAAAGACCCUAUCGAGCUUUACUGGAUACCGAUAGCGCUAACUCAAAAUGAUCGAUACUAAGUAUUCUAAUUUUGAGUUAAUAAUUUUUGUUGGUGUGACAGUUUAGUUGGGGCGACUGCCUUUGAAUAAGAAACGAAGGCGAGCUUAUGGUAUACAAAGCUAAUCUCAUUAGCCUGACAGUGAGGGGGACACCCCCAGCUGGCACAAGGACUACGUCCUAUGUGGGCGAUAAUGACCCGAUAUGAUUGUCCAAAAUAAAUAUCGAAAGCGGAUAAAAGCUACCGUAGGGAUAACAGCGUAAUAUUGUCGGAGAGUUCUUAUCGAGGACAGUGUUUGCGACCUCGAUGUUGAAUUGCGGUGCCCUGGUGCUGUAGAAGGUACCCUAGGUUGGUC